UCUCUCCGGCUACCAGGCGGCGGCCAUCUUGGUCCAGUCACGUGAGAUAUCAGGUGCUUCCUGCUGCCCCCCCCUUCCCGGCGAUCUCACGUGACAAAUUCCCCCUAGCCGCUUUUCUUCGUUCAUGCGGUCCUCGAACUGGCUCCCGCGCGUCGCCAGCGAUCAAGAUGCAGUCAGGGCGGCGCAGUCCACCUUGAAGGUCGGGGAGGCUUGGUGGGGCUUCUCGCCCUGCGCCUUCGAGCGACGCCUCAUCCGGAUCGGCAGACGCCCCUCAGGCGGUGGAGCGGGAUCGCCCGGCUCCAAGGGCCAGCAGCUCCCGCAGGUGGCCUGACCUGCCAGAAGUUCCAGAAACAGAUUCUCAGGAUGCCAGCUGUCCCUCAGCCUAACCUGCACAUUUGCACAGCUGAGUCUACAGACAGGUAUGUGACAUUAUGCACAACCCUGAUGUCAGGUCAUGGUUGUUCUGCCUCUCCCACUUUCUACCAUGGAGGGAACUGACAGCUGAUUAUUGCCAUCCAAAUCAUCUGUUUCCAGGCAACCUGAGCAGACAUUAAGCUUUUGGUCUGGCUCUCUCCCAACCAGAUCCCAGAAUCCUGCCCGCAGCCUUGUCCUGACAAACUUUCAAGCACUUUCUUGUUUUGUUUAAUAACCUUUAUUCCAAAAUAAAAUCUUAUGUAACAAGA